UGGGGAAUUUUUCGCAAUGGGGGCAACCCUGACGAAGCAAUGCCGCGUGGAUGAUGAAGUAUCUCGGUACGUAAAAUCCUUUCGACGGGGACGAAACCGCAAGGUUGACGGUACCCGUAGAAGAAGCCCCGGCCAACUCCGUGCCAGCAGCCGCGGUAAUACGGGGGGGGCGAGCGUUGUUCGGAAUUACUGGGCGUAAAGGGUGCGUAGGCGGCUUUCUAAGUCGGAUGUGAAAACUCUGGGCUCAACCCAGAGCCUGCAUCUGAAACUGGAGAGCUAGGGUUUUGGAGGGGAAAGCGGAAUUCCAGGUGUAGCGGUGAAAUGCGUAGAUAUCUGGAGGAACACCGGUGGCGAAGGCGGCUUUCUGGACAAAUACCGACGCUGAGGCACGAAAGCUAGGGGAGCAAACAGGAUUAGAUACCCUGGUAGUCCUAGCCCUAAACUAUGGAUACUUGCUGUGGGGGGGAUUGAAGCCCCUUGUGGCGAAGCUAACGCAUUAAGUAUCCCGCCUGGGGAGUACGGUCGCAAGGCUGA
rnacentral:rRNA from 1 species